rnacentral:rRNA from 1 species
AUUGAACGCUGGCGGCAGGCCUAACACAUGCAAGUCGAGCGGCCGCGGAAAGUAGCUUGCUACUUUGCCGGCGAGCGGCGGACGGGUGAGUAAUGUCUGGGAAACUGCCUGAUGGAGGGGGAUAACUACUGGAAACGGUAGCUAAUACCGCAUAACGUCGAAAGACCAAAGAGGGGGACCUUCGGGCCUCUUGCCAUCCGAUGUGCCCAGAUGGGAUUAGCUAGUAGGUGGGGUAACGGCUCACCUUGGCGACGAUCCCUAGCUGGUCUGAGAGGAUGACCAGCCACACUGGGACUGAGACACGGUCCAGACUCCUACGGGAGGCAGCAGUGGGGAAUAUUGCACAAUGGGCGCAAGCCUGAUGCAGCCAUGCCGCGUGUAUGAAGAAGGCCUUCGGGUUGUAAAGUACCUUCAGCGGGGAGGAAGGUGUUGAGGUUACUAACCUCAGCAAUUGACGUUACCCGCAGAAGAAGCACCGGCUAACUCCGUGCCAGCCGCCGCAGUAA